GCCCUCCCCUUCUUCAACCAAAGUGGCUGAUCGAGAUGUUUUCCUAAACAAAACUGUUCUCCCCCUGCUAAAUGCAUUGAAACGUGCCAUCUGGUGUGUAUGCUGGCCUCCUGAGAAAUUGAGUAGUCCAAGCUCGCAGCUGAGACUCAGCUCUUCUCUCCACCAGCUGCCAGGCUGUGGCUCGACCCGGGGCCCCAGGAGGGGAUUUGUCAGAGUAAAGGCCGCUGUGGGCAGCCUCUCGGCAACCGGCCAACAGCCCCUGCUGGCAAUGUGCCACCCCUGUGAACAGCACAGAUCGAGCUUCAGAUGUGCAAGGCCUGAGGAGAAAACAAAAAAGGAUGAUGGCAAGGAGGCUUCUCACUGUCUGGAAUCACUGCCGCCAUCUUGGUUCUGACAGAGCAGAGAGAGAGAACCUGCAUCCAAGGCCAACAGCUCAGAUGAAAAGUGAGCAAAGUAAGUAAAGACAACAUUCACAGAAAGAGGAAAAACAAGUAGCCCUUAAGCAUAUGAGAAAAUGCUCAACUUCACUCAUCAUAAGAGCAAUGAAGACUGAAAUAACACCAUAAUACUACUUUUCACCUAUCAGAUUGGCAAAAAUCCAAAGGUUUGACAACAUAUUCUGUUGGUGAGGUUGUGGGGAAGUGGGGACUCUCAUGCAUGAAGGGCAAAAUGGCACAAUAUCCUGUAGUGGGGAAAGAGUAAAGAAAGGAACACAUGAACUGGAGUCUUUAUGUCCUCACCAAGAUGCCACAUCAGUCCAGCCUCCUGUGAGACUUAAGUUCCCCACUGAGUAAGCCAGUUUGAGUAGAGUUUUUGUUACCAAGAAUCCAAAAUAUCCCAAAUGAUGCCCUUGCCUCCCACCUGAAGCCCAGGAACAAACUUGUUCUGUCCAGAAUCCAGAUCAUUGAAUCUCACUGGGUCAUCCAAUGACUAGCCAAACCCAAGCAGGUACAAAUCCAAAAGCUGAGAUCAUUGCUGACAGAAGAAUCCCUCCCAGAGGAUGAGCUAUGAGCCCAUUCCAAAAUUAGUGGGUGGGUAACUGCCUAGGGUAAUAUUUAACCCAUGUGGUCAUGAGAGGGAGCUGUAUCUUGAAGGUGCUAUUGGAAUCCAAAUGUACAGAUGAUCCCAAGGAGUUAAAUCUUGAGGUGGUAAGAUGACUGCCCUUCGUCUUGCUUAGCCCAAUAUCCUG
rnacentral:lncRNA from 1 species